UCUUCCCUCUUUCUUCGUGCCUAAUACAUGCAAGUCGAGCGAACAGACGAGGAGCUUGCUCCUCUGACGUUAGCGGCGGACGGGUGAGUAACACGUGGAUAACCUACCUAUAAGACUGGGAUAACUUCGGGAAACCGGAGCUAAUACCGGAUAAUAUAUUGAACCGCAUGGUUCAAUAGUGAAAGACGGUUUUGCUGUCACUUAUAGAUGGAUCCGCGCCGCAUUAGCUAGUUGGUAAGGUAACGGCUUACCAAGGCAACGAUGCGUAGCCGACCUGAGAGGGUGAUCGGCCACACUGGAACUGAAACACGGUCCAGACUCCUACGGGAGGCAGCAGUAGGGAAUCUUCCGCAAUGGGCGAAAGCCUGACGGAGCAACGCCGCGUGAGUGAUGAAGGUCUUCGGAUCGUAAAACUCUGUUAUUAGGGAAGAACAAAUGUGUAAGUAACUAUGCACGUCUUGACGGUACCUAAUCAGAAAGCCACGGCUAACUACGUG
rnacentral:rRNA from 1 species